rnacentral:rRNA from 1 species
GGGUUGUGAGGUUAAGCGACUAAGCGUACACGGUGGAUGCCCUGGCAGUCAGAGGCGAUGAAGGACGUGCUAAUCUGCGAUAAGCGUCGGUGAGGUGAUAUGAACCGUUAUAACCGGCGAUUUCCGAAUGGGGAAACCCAGUGUGUUUCGACACACUAUCAUUAACUGAAUCCAUAGGUUAAUGAGGCGAACCGGGGGAACUGAAACAUCUAAGUACCCCGAGGAAAAGAAAUCAACCGAGAUUCCCCCAGUAGCGGCGAGCGAACGGGGAGGAGCCCAGAGCCUGAAUCAGUGUGUGUGUUAGUGGAAGCGUCUGGAAAGGCGUGCGAUACAGGGUGACAGCCCCGUACACAAAAAUGCACAUAUUGUGAGCUCGAUGAGUAGGGCGGGACACGUGGUAUCCUGUCUGAAUAUGGGGGGACCAUCCUCCAAGGCUAAAUACUCCUGACUGACCGAUAGUGAACCAGUACCGUGAGGGAAAGGCGAAAAGAACCCCGGCGAGGGGAGUGAAAAAGAACCUGAAACCGUGUACGUACAAGCAGUGGGAGCCUCUUAAUGGGGUGACUGCGUACCUUUUGUAUAAUGGGUCAGCGACUUAUAUUCUGUAGCAAGGUUAACCGAAUAGGGGAGCCGAAGGGAAACCGAGUCUUAACUGGGCGUUAAGUUGCAGGGUAUAGACCCGAAACCCGGUGAUCUAGCCAUGGGCAGGUUGAAGGUUGGGUAACACUAACUGGAGGACCGAACCGACUAAUGUUGAAAAAUUAGCGGAUGACUUGUGGCUGGGGGUGAAAGGCCAAUCAAACCGGGAGAUAGCUGGUUCUCCCCGAAAGCUAUUUAGGUAGCGCCUCGUGAAUUCAUCUCCGGGGGUAGAGCACUGUUUCGGCAAGGGGGUCAUCCCGACUUACCAACCCGAUGCAAACUGCGAAUACCGGAGAAUGUUAUCACGGGAGACACACGGCGGGUGCUAACGUCCGUCGUGAAGAGGGAAACAACCCAGACCGCCAGCUAAGGUCCCAAAGUCAUGGUUAAGUGGGAAACGAUG